GCGGCUGUAAUUCAAUUAGGAUAGAAUAGCGGAUUUCUACUCCGUAUGUUGAGGGUUCGAGUCCUUCCAGCCGUGCCA
rnacentral:tRNA from 1 species